rnacentral:rRNA from 1 species
ACCUGGAUUACAUAAGGCAAAGUUCGAGCGGAUCUUCAUUAGCUUGCUUUUGAAGAUCAGCGGCGGACGGGUGAGUAACACGUGGGCAACCUGCCUGUAAGACUGGGAUAACUUCGGGAAACCGGAGCUAAUACCGGAUAAUCCUUUCCCUCACAUUCAAGAAAGCUGAAAGACGGUUUCGGCUGUCACUUACAGAUGGGCCCGCGGCGCAUUAGCUAGUUGGUGAGGUAACGGCUCACCAAGGCAACGAUGCGAAGCCCACCUGAGAGGGUGAUCGGCCACACUGGGACUGAGACACGGCCCAGACUCCUACGGGAGGCAGCAGUAGGGAAUCUUCCGCAAUGGACGAAAGUCUGACGGAGCAACGCCGCGUGAACGAUGAAGGCUUUCGGGUCGUAAAGUUCUGUUGUCAGGGAAGAACAAGUACCGGAGUAACUGCCGGUACCUUGACGGUACCUGACCAGAAAGCCACGGCUAACUACGUGCCAGCAGCCGCGGUAAUACGUAGGUGGCAAGCGUUGUCCGGAAUUAUUGGGCGUAAAGCGCGCGCAGGCGGUUCCUUAAGUCUGAUGUGAAAGCCCCCGGCUCAACCGGGGAGGGUCAUUGGAAACUGGGGAACUUGAGUGCAGAAGAGGAGAGCGGAAUUCCACGUGUAGCGGUGAAAUGCGUAGAGAUGUGGAGGAACACCAGUGGCGAAGGCGGCUCUCUGGUCUGUAACUGACGCUGAGGCGCGAAAGCCCAUGGGAGCGAACAGGAUUAGAUACCCUGGUAGUCCACGCCGUAAACGAUGAGUGCUAAGUGUUAGAGGGUUUCCGCCCUUUAGUGCUGCAGCAAACGCAUUAAGCACUCCGCCUGGGGAGUACGGCCGCAAGGCUGAAACUCAAAGGAAUUGACGGGGGCCCGCACAAGCGGUGGAGCAUGUGUUUAAUUCGAAGCAACGCGAAGAACCUUACCAGGUCUUGACAUCCUCUGACACCCUAGAGA